rnacentral:misc_RNA from 1 species
GAUGAAGAACGCAGCGAAAUGCGAUAAGUAAUGUGAAUUGCAGAAUUCAGUGAAUCAUCGAAUCUUUGAACGCACAUUGCGCCCGCUAGUACUCUAGCGGGCAUGCCUGUUCGAGCGUCAUUUCAACCCUCAAGCCCUGCUUGGUGUUGGGGCCCUACGGCUGCCGUAGGCCCUGAAAGGAAGUGGCGGGCUCGCUACAACUCCGAGCGUAGUAAUUCACUAUCUCGCUUAGGGUGUUGUGCGGUGCUCCAGCCGUUAAAGACCAUCUUUAACUCAAGGUUGACCUCGGAUCAGGUAGGAAUACCCGCUGAACUUAAGCAUAUCAAUAAGCGGAGGA